CUUUCCGCCCCGGGUGAUGUAAAACGAACGCAGCCAGCAUAUGACCUGUGACGUAGGUGGCGCCAGAAUGCUGUGUUUUGAAAUUAUACACAAGUAGUUUUGACAGCUCAGGUUUGCUAGGAGUAUUGACCGUAGUAUUAGCUAGCUAGUAAUCUCCUUAAACGCGCACUUAAUUCAACACGAUGGUGAUAAUACGUAGAAUUUCGGACGCAGUCCAAUCAACACACCAACAGUCUUCACAACCAGACGACGACUCUCAAUCCCCGCAGACUUCACCGAGAAAGUCCGCACGCUUGACUAAAGGAUAUGUUGGUGAGAAGGAUCGGCAUAUUAUCCUCUUGGAAGAGCUAAAUGGACAAACACCAGAGAAUGGGAGACCUGUCAGAAAGAUAACAAGGAAAUCGCCCAGGUUUCAGGUCAAUGGGGCCAGUGAAGAUGACCAAACUGAGGGGUCCCCUAGACCAGGAGGAUCCCAGGGGGUUGUGAGACGCAGCACCAGAACCACCAGAUACCAACAGACCAUGAUCUACGACUGCCUCAUCACUAACACUGCUGAGGCAGUCCUCCACAAGAUGGAUGACAUGAAGAAGAUGCGCCGCCGCUCAAAACAAGCACGGAUCUAUUCUAAAGCCCAGCGAAAGAAGACUACUGAUCGUCCAACCGUAAAAGAGUACUCUGAUGAUGAUGGAGAGGAGGUUGACGAUGAUGAGGACGACGAAGAUGAGGACGAUGAAUACGACGAUGAGGACAACAGCAAGCCCUAUGAACCUCGACAGAAAAAAGCAGUGGUUCGCUACCAGGCCCCCCUGGAUGGAUCAAGGAAACAGCCGCCCAUGUUUUUCGACCGUCAGGCAUCUUCCAUUAGAGGGAGCUACCGCAUCAGUGCCUCAGUGCCCAGGAGUGCCCACACCACCAGCCGAAGGAGUGGCAGGAUUGGAUCCAUAGGCAGGAGAAGGCAUGCUUGGCACACCCGAGAAGCCAGCUCCUCUGAUGAGGACGACUCCUCUGAUGAGGAAGAUGCAGAGCAAGAAGCCAAGAACAGGUGUCUGCCUCUGAAUUUGCGCAAAGAGGACAUUUUGGGAAUCCUUAAGGACAGAAUGAAAAUCGGUGCGAGCCUCGCGGAUGUCGACCCCAUGGCGAUUGACCAGUCGGUACGCUUUGACAGCGUCGGCGGUCUGACAAGCCACAUCUCCGCCCUGAAGGAGAUGGUCGUCUUCCCUCUGCUCUACCCAGAGGUGUUUGACAAGUUCAAGAUCCAGCCCCCAAGGGGCUGCCUGUUCUAUGGACCCCCGGGUACGGGGAAGACCCUGGUGGCCAGAGCGCUGGCCAACGAGUGCAGCCAGGGGGAGAGGAAGGUGGCCUUCUUCAUGAGGAAGGGGGCCGACUGCUUGAGCAAGUGGGUGGGCGAGUCGGAACGCCAGCUAAGGCUGCUCUUUGACCAGGCCUACCAGAUGCGGCCAGCCAUUAUCUUCUUUGAUGAAAUUGAUGGGUUGGCUCCGGUUCGCUCCAGUCGCCAAGACCAGAUACACAGUUCCAUCGUGUCCACCCUGCUGGCCCUGAUGGAUGGCCUGGAUAGCCGAGGAGAGGUGGUGGUGAUUGGAGCUACCAACCGACUGGACUCCAUCGACCCCGCCCUUAGACGCCCCGGACGCUUCGACAGGGAGUUCCUCUUUGGCCUCCCUGAUCGCGAGUCCCGGAAAGAUAUCCUAACGAUUCACACCAGACAGUGGAAUCCUACACCGUCCGAUCCUUUCCUGGAAGAGUUGGCUGAUAAAUGUGUUGGUUACUGCGGCGCCGACAUGAAGGCGGUGUGCGCCGAGGCGGCCCUCUGCGCGCUGCGCCGUCGCUACCCCCAGAUCUACGGCACGUCCCAGAAGCUCCUGCUGGACGUGGGCUCCAUCAACAUCAACAGCUGGGACUUUGUGGCCGCCAUAAGGAAGAUGGUACCAGCCUCCCAGAGGGCCGUGUCGUCCCCUGCCAAGGCCCUGACCCCCGUGGUCACGCCCCUGCUGGGGCCCACACUCACCAACGUGCUGGACGCGCUGCAGAAGCUCUUCCCCCACGCCGAACAGGGCCUCAAGAGGAAGAGGGACACAGAUCUGACAGCCAGCGUUCUGGAGGAUGACCUCUUGUACAGUGGGGAUGAGGGCCCCUCGUCCAAUAAUUCCAUCACCAAACAGACCACCACCAAAGGGAGCUUCCUCCAUUUUGCCAGGAGUGCGACCUGCCACCCCACCACCUACCGGCCCAGGCUGCUGCUGGCUGGGCGUCCCGGGGCGGGUCAGAGCUCCCACCUGGCCCCCGCCGUGCUCCACGCCCUGGAGAAGUUCACCGUCUACACCCUGGACAUGGCCGUGCUGUUUGGAGUCAGCUGCACCUCCCCCGAGGAGGCCUGUGCUCAGGUGUUCUGCGAGGCCAAGCGGACCUCCCCAAGCAUCCUGUACAUCCCCCACAUUCAGCAGUGGUGGGACACGGUGGGCCUGGCCCUCAAGGCCACCUUCCUCAGCCUGCUGCAGGACAUCCCCUCCUUCUCCCCCAUCAUGCUGCUGGCCACCAGCAACGUGGCUCACCACGACCUGGCCGACGAGAUCCAGACUCUGUUCCGGUUGGAGUACGGAGAGGUGCACUGUAUCCAAAUUCCCACCCAGCAGGAGAGAAGGAAGUUCUUUGAGAAUCUCAUCCUUAGCCAGGCUGCCAAGGCACCCGCCUCCAAGAAGAAAGCCUUGAUGCAUGCCAUGGAGGUGCUCCCCCUUGCCCCUCCUCCUCUCCCCAGGCAGAUGAGUGAGAGGGAGCGUUUGCGUUUGGAGGAACAGGAGGAAGACACACUCAGGGAGCUGAGGUUGUUCCUGCGCAACGUCACCGAGCGCCUCUCCCAGGACAAGCGCUUCAAGGCCUUUACUAAGCCUGUGGACAUCGAAGAGGUUCCUGACUAUAUUAAGGUGAUCAGGCAUCCCAUGGACCUCUCCACUGUACUGUCCAAGGUCGACCUCCACAAGUACGUGACCGUCAGGGAGUUUGUCAACGACGUGGACCUGAUCUGGAAGAACGCCCUGGAGUACAACCCUGACAGUGACCCAUCUGAUCGUCAGAUUCGUCACCGGGCUUGUGCCCUGAAGGACACGACCCACGCCAUCAUCCGCGACGAACUGGACGAGGACUUUAACAGGAUCUGUGAGCAGAUCAGAGAGUCACGCAACAAGAGAGGGUGCACGUCAUCAAAGUUCGCCCCCUCCUACUACAAGACCUUGCCCAGAGAGGAAGGGUUUGCAGAAACCAAGAGGCCAUGCGGUAACACUGGCAAAGACGCUAGUACCCCGUUCACUGCCAACACCCCACGGCCCGCACCCUGUACUCUAGCCCGUAAGAAGAAACGGCCCAAAAUACGACGCAAAAACAAAUGGAGCUCCGGCAUCAUAAAGAAGAAUAAGAAGAAACCUACGUCUUCCUUUUCUUCCAACAAGGAGAUCACAAACUCAGGGGAGGAAGAAGAGGAUGAGAGUGAUCGCAUAGGAGGGUGAAGAGAAACAAGCUAAGCCUUUGGAGACUAUUCUAGAGAACGGCUGUGAAUACUCCCCUAUGGAGUGUACCUCAGAGAAGACCACUAAGCCUGCUGAGGAUGUGGAAGAGGCCUUUGUUACAGUCCAGCCAACAACACCCCUACAAAGGAGGUAGAUCAGGGGGAGAAACACCCCACAAAGACCAAAGAGCCUGAAAGGUUGGAGGACUGGGACAUAGGUCUGUAUUAGGGUCCAGGACCCGUGCAGAAACCAAGCUACUGCUUCUUGCCGAAGGGAACAGUUCAGUCAGUCUCACUGACCUUUGGUCUCUGGGGCUCCAGCUGUUGGGGAGAUCCAACUCAACUCAACGCAUCAGUUAAAGGGAUACAUCCAUCUCUUGACUUAUUUAAAUACUCUGUAAAAAGAGGCGUGUGACCCGUGCCACCAGGACUCUGGUACAGCAGCAGCAGUUGAUCGAUGUGGACAAGGCCCUGGAGAUCCUGACCCAGAAGAC